UACGUAGGUCCCGAGCGUUGUCCGGACUUAUUGGGCGUAAAGCGAGCGCAGGUGGUUUAUUAAGUCUGGUGUAAAAGGCAGUAGCUCAACCAUUGUAUGCAUUGGAAACUGGUAGACUUGAGUGCAGGAGAGGAGAGUGGAAUUCCACGUGUAGCGGUGAAAUGCGUAGAUAGAUGGAGGAACACCGGUGGCGAAAGCGGCUCUCUGGCCUGUAACUGACACUGAGGCUCGAAAGCGUGGGGAGCAAACAGG
rnacentral:rRNA from 1 species